rnacentral:rRNA from 1 species
UACGAAGGGGGCUAGCGUUGCUCGGAAUCACUGGGCGUAAAGCGCACGUAGGCGGCUUUCUAAGUCAGGGGUGAAAUCCUGGAGCUCAACUCCAGAACUGCCUUUGAUACUGGAGAGCUAGAGUCCGGAAGAGGUGAGUGGAAUUCCUAGUGUAGAGGUGAAAUUCGUAGAUAUUAGGAAGAACACCAGUGGCGAAAGGCGGCUCACUGGCCCGGGUACUGACGCUGAGGUGCGAAAGCGUGGGGAGCAAACAGG